rnacentral:lncRNA from 1 species
CAAAAACAUUCUCUUCCCCCAACUGUACAUUUAUAUCAACAAGGUUCUUGUCAGCAGAAAGCACUUCAACAUCUACAGAGUUCUUCCAAAAAACAGCCAAACCACCACUUCUUCCAACCGGAUUAAUCGUAUAUACACGGUUGUAACCUAACCACUCCUGAAUAUCUACAAGCACGUUCCUUGAAUGCAUAGUUUCCAUCAAAAACAGAAGCUCAGUGAACUAUUUUUUACAUAUCUCCAUGAGCCUAUUAAUUGUCAAGUCCUGAGAAGAUCCCAGUCCUCGACAAUUCCAAGCUCGUAGGCACAUAAAUCUUUGGACAGUCUCUCCUUCGGGAUCACCUCAUGAGUUAUUUGCUUUACAGCUUUGGAAACUCCACCCAUCUGAUUAACUGCUUUCCUUUUCUAGACACUUCCUAUCAACACCCCUUCUUUUAAAGAUAUUUGAAUGUUAUCCUCCUGACCAGCAUUAGCUUUUGCAUUCCUCUUGUUUUUCCCCGGCCUUUUCCUGACACUAAUCUUCUUUGAAUAAGUUCUGUUUCUUUCAGUUGAGCAAUAUUCUGGUAAAUUAGGCAUGACAAAGGGAACAUCAUCAUCUUCCUCCAGAGACAUGGCCAUUAAGGCCUUAUCUAUCGCUGAUGACAUCAGAUAGACCACCAAACGCAAGAUCAAACCUUUAAUUGAUAUUUUUAAUCACAACUGAAC